GGGAGGAGCGGCCUGGGGGCCCGAGAGGUGGCUGUGGCGAGCCCCGCCUGUCCUCCCACCCGCACCCUGGCCCGGGCGCGCCGUCCGCCAUCAGGAAGCCCAGGAAACUAAAACGUUUUUGUGGACCCUGGGCAUUGUACCUAAUGGAUUAGUCGGCCCUCCCCGCUCUCUGGCCUACCUGGCUGCUCCAUAAAUGUCCGAGAAGGAAGGACAUACAAGAGCCCUGGUGGGAAGGCCCUCUGGGCAGGACUGUCCUCUGGCUCUCUCUUCAAAACUCCCCGGGCUGAUAUAAGGAACUCAUACAACUCAUAAUAAAAAACCAAAUAACCCAGCUGAAAAAUGGGCAAAGAAACAGAAUAGACAUUUCCCCAAAGAAGACAUACAAAUGGCCAACAGAUAUUUGAAAAGCUGCUCAACAUCACUUAUCAUCAGGGAAAUGCAAAUCUAAACCACAAUGAGAUGUCACCUCACAAAUGUUAGAAUGGUUAUUAUGAAAAGACAGAAGAUAAGUGUUGGUGAGGAUGUGAAGAAAAGGGAACCUUUGUGCACUGUUGGUGGGAAUGUAAAUUGAUUCAGCCACUAUGGAAAACAGUAUGGAGGUUCCUCAAGAAAUUAAAAACAGAACUACCAUAUGAUCCAGCAAUCCCAUUUCUGUGUAUCUAUCUGAAGGAAUUGAAAUCAGGAUCUCAAAGGGAUAUCUGCCGUCCCAUGUUCAGUGCAGCACUAUUCACAAUGGCCAAGACAUGAAAGCAACCUAAACGUCCAUGAAUGGAUGAAUGGAAAAAGAAAAUGCGGUACGUAUAUACAUACAAUAGAAUACUAUUCAGCCUUAAAAAAGAAGGAAACUGCCGUUUGCAACAACAUGGAUGAAGCUGGAAGUGAAAGAAGCCAGAUACAGAAAGACGAAUAUGGCAUGAUCUCAUUUACAGGAGGAAUCAAACUCAGAGAAGCAGAGAGUAGAAUGGUUUAAAAAACAAACUCCCAAGGCUGGUCACAGCCACAUGGCUGGCAUGCCCCUCUCCUCCUUCCCCUUUCUGUGUCAUCUCCCCCUCAAUUGGCUCCAAAUCUUCACUGCCUUAUAUGGCAGCCACUAGCCACAUGUGGCUAUUUAAAUUUUAAUUAAUUAAAAUUAAAUAAAUUUUAAAUAAUAUUUAUAAUUCAAAUAAAAUUUAAAUUUCAA